rnacentral:rRNA from 1 species
GACGAACGCUGGCGGCGUGCCUAAUACAUGCAAGUCGAACGCAUUUUCUUUCACCGUAGCUUGCUACACCGAAAGAAAAUGAGUGGCGAACGGGUGAGUAACACGUGGGUAACCUGCCCAUCAGCGGGGGAUAACACUUGGAAACAGGUGCUAAUACCGCAUAAUUCCAUUUACCGCAUGGUAGAUGGGUGAAAGGCGCUUUUGCGUCACUGAUGGAUGGACCCGCGGUGCAUUAGCUAGUUGGUGGGGUAACGGCCUACCAAGGCUGCGAUGCAUAGCCGAACUGAGAGGGUGAUCGGCCACACUGGGACUGAGACACGGCCCAGACUCCUACGGGAGGCAGCAGUAGGGAAUCUUCGGCAAUGGACGCAAGUCUGACCGAGCAACGCCGCGGGAGUGAAGAAGGUUUUCGGAUUGUAAAACUCUGUUGUUAGAGAAGAACAAGGAUGAGAGUGGAAAGUUCAUCCCUUGACGGUAUCUAACCAGAAAGCCACGGCUAACUACGUG